rnacentral:rRNA from 1 species
UACAGAGGUCCCAAGCGUUGUUCGGAUUUAUUGGGCGUAAAGAGCUCGUAGGCGGCUCGGUAAGUCGGGUGUGAAAACUCGGGGCUCAACCCCGAGACGCCACUCGAUACUGCCAUGGCUAGAGUCCGGUAGGGGAGCGUGGAAUUCCUGGUGUAGCGGUGAAAUGCGCAGAUAUCAGGAGGAACACCGGUGGCGAAGGCGGCGCUCUGGGCCGGAACUGACGCUGAGGAGCGAAAGCGUGGGAGCAAACAGG